rnacentral:tRNA from 1 species
GCCAAGAUAGCCAAGGUGGUCAAGGCGCUUGUCUGAAGAACAAGUUAUCCGGGUUCAACUCCUGGUCUUGGCA